AAAGUGAGCAGCGCCAUUAUUUUUUGCCGUCUCAGCUCUUGAGCCAGCAUCAACGCCCACAAGGACGGUCGCUGUUUGGGCAUACGGAUGAUGUUCCGUAGCAACUGUAAGCCCAUUUUUUAAAGUAGUGGUUUCUGUUUUUGGUAAAGCAGUAGUCGCAAAACGACGUACUAGCUUUGGCAAAUUCUGAAGCCUCAGCAUAGUAAUAUCAAUUCAAGCUCCUUUGGUUGGGUGGGAUUCUGUGGAUGGUAAAGGGUAAGUAGGUAGCAAGAAGGUAUUCCGUAGAGGUGUAGCGUAAUACGUGUUAUCGAGGUCCCAAGUUCGAAUUUCGGCAAAUGACCAAUUGAUCCCAUUUAAUAAAAAAAGAAAACUAGCAAUCCUUGAAUCCCUUACUAGAAUUUCCAUGUAGAGAAAAAUAAGAAGUUGACCAUUCAAACAGAAACUUUCGGAUUGCCUAGUCUUUGCCCUGUGCGCAAUUUGCUAUAAAGGAAGGAAACGAAUGACCGUACAAUCCAGUUCAUGAUAUAAUAUAUCUCUACUUAACAUGGAGAAUCUCAUUGGUAAAAAACUAUGUAGGGGAUAUAUUGUUUCAUCGGUAUAUUGAAAAGAAUCUAUAUGACAUUGAAUCAGACAGGGUAAGACACUUCAUCAGGUUAAGUUCGUAUUCAUCUACAUUAAAAGGUUAUUUAUACUUAACGAAAUUCUCUUUUCCAUGAUUUCCAUUACAAUAUUUCGGUUAAUACAUUUUUAAAAAAAUAACAGUCCAACUAUAGAAUUUUGACUAGCACCGAAUCAAGCAUUGUUAUACAUCGACUAUUGAGUA